rnacentral:rRNA from 1 species
CGGAGGGUGCAAGCGUUAUCCGGAUUCACUGGGUUUAAAGGGUGCGUAGGUGGGCAGGUAAGUCAGUGGUGAAAUCUCCGGGCUUAACCCGGAAACUGCCGUUGAUACUAUUUGUCUUGAAUAUUGUGGAGGUAAGCGGAAUAUGUCAUGUAGCGGUGAAAUGCUUAGAUAUGACAUAGAACACCAAUUGCGAAGGCAGCUUACUACACAAUCAUUGACACUGAGGCACGAAAGCGUGGGGAUCAAACAGG